UUUCUCUCUUAUUUGUCCUUCGUGUUUGCUUUCUGAGAAAACUCGGGAAAAUGGAAGAAAUUUAUUCGAUCUCGUGUUUUUUAACUUGUGAAAACUCAAUUAUAGCAGUUUAAAGGUGGGUUGUUUUGGUAUAUUGUAUCAUUGGGCUGCGAAAGUAAACAUUUUUAUCAUUAAGAUUGAGUUCGUAAAAUUUUCAUAGGUCUGCCUAAGAAGAUAUAAGGUUUGGUAAUGGUUUCAUUGUUUCAGCUCAAGAGACGGUUUUGUUUCAAUAAUCUGGAUGUGAGAUACCCAGUUUUGACAAAACAAGUGACAUUUUUACCAUGUGAGUAACAUUACAAGGAAAAAAAAAAAAGACAUUUUGACACUAUAACAUGCCAAAUUAUAGGUUUGCAUUGUCAUUUUGACAAAGACCGGUGUAAUUGCUACAUGUUAUUAUGUGAACCCUCCAAUAGGGUUAGUUAAAGGUUACCCACUAAAGUGGGUCUUACAAGCAACCAUAAGGUGGUUUAAUUAAAGAUGAGAGAGGUAUGAGGCACAUUCAAGCAUUUCCAUUGGAGAUGUUAUGUAGGGUGUUAGCGGAAGUGUUGGAGAUGUUAAGUUGUGUGUAAGUAUGUGUCAGUUAAAGUAUGUUAAGAGCUCAAAUGGACAUGUAAUGGCUUGCUAAUAGCAUAUUUAGUGGAGUGGCUAAUAAUACAGGUGUUAAAGUGUCCACAUAGGCAAAAGUGAGGCCCAAUUUCAGGUGUUAAGUGCUAAUUACCAAACACAUGCACUGAGUGCUCCAAUAGACUAACUAAAAAAAACUCACUAAACAUUAGGUCCUAUUGCAACUCAUUGCAAUGCUCAUGUUUUUUUUUUUUUUUAAAUAAAAAAAUAAAAAAAUAAAAAAAAGAGAUAUGGUUGAUAUGGCUAGCUAAAGUGCUAGGCACAGUUAGCAAAUAAGGUAGCAUUUGGUAACUUUGAGUUGUAUUUUAGUAGAUUCAAUGGAACACAAGAAAUUGCAUCUUAGUUGAUAACUGUGUAGUGUAUGACAAGAGGUGCUUAGCAGCUCCAAUGCAGAUGUUCUAACUAUGGCUGUGUGUCAUGUGUCAAAAUGCUGGCUAACUGUGGUGAGCAAUUUAGCUGAACAUGUUACACCAUUAUCUUUUCUUUUUUUAAAAAAAAGAAAUUUAAAAAAGGGAGCAUCAUCGGGGCACUCAUAGCAUUUUGGCAAUGGGUCCUACUUUUGCCCAUGUGGACAUCUUAACAAUCUAGUUUUUAACAUGCAUCGAAGCUCAUAAAAGCUCACCCACUAAAUGAUGACUCGAUGCUAAUAUCUCUCUAAGAGCAUCUCCAUGGGCAUGCUAUAACAGCUGUCAAAGUUUAAAUUGUAAUUAGAUCUCAAAAAAUUUGCUCUAGUGGUCUGCCAUCCCUUAUGCCAAAAAAAGGCAAUGCCAAACCUAUCAACAAAUAUUGUGGGUGUUUGGGAAGUAAGUUUUUUUAGUUGUACGAUAUUAUUGGAGGAAUUUUUUUUUGUGUUUGGGAAAAUAGUUGGGUUUUUUUGUGGUUGGAUGUGAUGUUUGUGAGAGAAAAAGUAAAAUGAUUAUGGGGUUUGAUGUGAUAUUUUGUUUGGAUUUGGUUUUUUUUGGUUUUGUAAAACAUUUGUCUUGUAGUGAAAAAAAUAAAAAAAAAAUCCGAAAACUAAGUUGCCAAACGCCGCCAUUGUAUCCCCACCCUUCUUAUCAUCUUCCUCAACUCAACAAAGACAUAUAUCACAACCAAAAAUAGAAUUAGACAUAAAUAAUAAAAAAAAGAAAUCCCAUUCAAAAAAAAUAACCAAAUGUUAAACUGCUUAAAUUACAAAAAUAAAAUUACCAAAAAGAGGAAAUGGUAGUUAA